GGGGGGGGGGGGGGGGGUGCCGAGCGCGGGCGAGGCGGGCGGAUGAGGUUCCUUCGGGGGUGGAUUUAGCGGCGGACGGGUGAGUAACACGUGGGCAACCUGCCUCGUAGAGGGGAAUAGCCUUCCGAAAGGGAGAUUAAUACCGCAUAAGAUUGUAGUAUCGCAUGAUACAGCAAUUAAAGGAGCAAUCCGCUAUGAGAUGGGCCCGCGGCGCAUUAGCUAGUUGGUGAGGUAACGGCCCACCAAGGCGACGAUGCGUAGCCGACCUGAGAGGGUGAUCGGCCACAUGGGGACUGAGACACGGCCCAGACUCCUACGGGAGGCAGCAGUGGGGAAUAUUGCACAAUGGGGGAAACCCUGAUGCAGCAACGCCGCGUGAGUGAUGACGGCCUUCGGGUUGUAAAGCUCUGUCUUCAGGGACGAUAAUGACGGUACCUGAGGAGGAAGCCACGGCUAACUACGUG
rnacentral:rRNA from 1 species